rnacentral:lncRNA from 1 species
UCCUCAAAUAUGGCAACUUGGGAUAUGGCUUCUUGAAUAAGGAAAAGGCAACUUGGUGAUUUGAAAUUUGAAUUUCAAAUUGCUUUGUCUGAAUGUUCUUUCCUUCUUUGCCACUUUCCUUAUUUAGAACUUUCCAUAUUUAGCUUGACUUGAUUUCAACUUGGCAGGCUUGCUCUCUUUUGCUCCAAAUAAGGCAGUUUUAGGGGUAUUUUCUCCAAAGUGUCCUUUUACACCAUUUUCUGCAAAAUAAUGCUAAGAGCACUAAAUUAAGCAGAAAUCAUGUAAAUAAUCAUCAAUAAUAUCAAGAUAAAAAGGACUAAAAUAUGUUCUAUCAAUAGAUGGCCUGGUCAAAGACCUUCGGCAGCCUAACGUGCCCCUUAAACUCAUGCAUGUUCGGCGGCCGAACUUGACUCGUUCAAAUAAGGCUUUCGGAGGCCAAAAGUGCUCCCGAAACCUUCCCAUGUUCGGCGGCCGAACUUCACUUUCGGCGGCCGAACCUGGCAAUUGCCUCAUUGGUCUUUUCUUUUCAAAACUCAAUUCAUUUCCAUUUAAAACCAUGAAAUCAUGUGAAAACUUUUUAGAAAACACAUUUUACCCCUCUAGAAGCCUCUGGCAUCUUCAGAAUUCCCGAUUCCAACGGAGAUUCCGCCGGAAGACAGGGAUUCCGAUGCCGGAAUCUAGCCGGGUAUUACAGCAGUCCACCUGUUGGAUGUAACAGUUAGUUUCUUUCAGUUCUGGCUCUUUUUGGCUCUCUU